rnacentral:rRNA from 1 species
UACGUAGGGUCCGAGCGUUGUCCGGAAUUACUGGGCGUAAAGCGCGUGUAGGCGGCUUUGCAAGUCGGAUGUGAAAGCCCACGGCUCAACCGUGGAAGUGCAUCCGAAACUGCAUGGCUUGAGUCUCGGAGAGGAAGGUGGAAUGCUUGGUGUAGAGGUGAAAUUCGUAGAUAUCAAGCAGAACACCUGCGGCGAAGGCGGCCUUCUGGACGAUGACUGACGCUGAGACGCGAAAGCGUGGGGAGCAAACAGG